CAUAAAGGGGCUGGUGCAGGUGCUCUGUCUCUUCAGGGGAGGAUGCCAUAGGAAGGACGGGCAGGCGAAAGAAUGAAGGAAAACGCCGAGAGUGGAGCACAGGAUAUGAUAAGCAGGGCGUGAGAUUGAAAACGCGUGGAAAUUGAAUAUGAAAGAUUUAUUGUAAGGGGCACUUUGAGCUGUUAUUCCUGGUUGGCAGUUGUACUAUGAUUUGGUAUGUGGCCACUUUGAUAGCAAGUGUUUUCAGCACCAGAGGAACGGCAGCUCAAGGUGCCCACGGAGUGAGAGAGGAGCCCCAGUUUGUGACGGCCCGUGCAGGAGAGAGCAUUGUUCUGGGAUGUGACGUGAGCCACCCCCUAAACGGCCAGCAGACUCCCUAUGUGGUGGAGUGGUUUAAAUUCGGUGUGCCUAUCCCCUUCUUCAUUAACUUCCGGUUCUAUCCUCCUCAUGUGGACCCUGAAUAUGCUGGUAGAGCCAGUCUGCAUGGAAAAGCUUCUCUGCAGAUUGACCAGGUGCGCUCGGAAGACCAGGGCUGGUACGAGUGCAGGGUACUCAUGCUGGAACAGCAGUACGACACCUUCCAUAAUGGCAGCUGGGUUCACCUCACAGUCAACGCGCCCCCUACGUUCACGGACACGCCACCACAGUACGUGGAGGCGAGGGAGGGCAGCAGCAUUACACUGACCUGCACUGCCUUCGGAAACCCCAAGCCAGUGGUCACCUGGCUGAGAGAGGGGGAUCAGCUGACCAGCAACAAGAAAUACACGGUGAGUGACGGUAGUUUGAUGGUGCAGGCCAUCGCGAGGGAGGACCGUGGGGCCUACAGCUGCCGUGCCCACAGUGACCAGGGGGAGGCGGUGCACACCACCCGCUUGCUGGUGCAAGGUCCUCCGUAUAUCGUAUCACCACCAGAGAACAUCACUGUUAACAUAUCCCAGAAUGCCCAAUUCACGUGCCAAGCCGAGGCGUAUCCUGGCAACCUGACCUACACCUGGUUCUGGGAAGAGGACAACGUCUACUUCAAGAACGAUCUGAAGCUUCGUGUGCGCAUCUUUAUUGAUGGAACCCUCAUCAUCUACCGAGUGAAGCCAGAGGAUGCUGGAAAAUACACCUGCAGCCCUAGUAACAGUCUGGGCAUCUCCCCCUCUGCUUCAGCUUACCUGACUGUGCAGUACCCUGCCCGUGUUAUGAACAUGCCACCUGUCAUCUACGUCCCAAGAAAAUUGCCUGGAAUCAUUCGCUGCCCAGUGGAUGCCAACCCCCCAGUUAUAUCAGUCAGAUGGGAGAAAGAUGGCUACCCUCUUAGAAUCGAGAAGUAUCCUGGAUGGAGCCAAAUGGCAGAUGGAAGCAUUCGGGUGGCAGAGGUCACUGAAGACUCCCUUGGCACCUACACCUGUGUGCCUUACAAUGUCCUAGGUACCAUGGGACAGUCCCCUCCGGCCACUCUGGUGCUAAAGGACCCCCCUUACUUCAACGUGAGGCCUGGGGGGGAGUACCGCCAGGAGGCGGGGAGAGAGCUGGUCAUCCCCUGUGCUGCCUCUGGAGACCCUGAAAUUCCAACCAUCGUAUGGAGAAAGGUUGGGAAGCCCAGCAGAAGCAAGCAUAACAUCUUAUCAAGUGGUAGCUUACAGUUUCUGUCUCUGAGCAAAGAGGAUCAUGGGGAGUGGGAAUGUGUCGCUACCAAUGUAGUAACAAGCAUCACUGCCAGCACACGCCUUUUUGUAAUAGGCACUAGUCCACAUGCGCCAACCAAUGUCCAUGUGUCAGCAUCCACAAGCUUCGCUAACGUUUCCUGGGGACCUGGAUAUGAUGGAGGCUUUGAACAGACGUUUUCGGUCUGGUACGGCCCGGUGAAAGUGAAGAAUGAUUUAGGACCACAUGAUUGGCUGUCCAUACCUGUGCCUGGUUCUCAGACGUGGUUGAUGGUACAGGGGUUGGAGCCAAAGACUGCCUAUCAAUUCAGUGUGCUGGCCCAGAACAAACUGGGCACUGGCCCCUUCAGUGAAGUAGUCACUGUGACUACAGGAGGGUAUCCUAUAAGUACCCCUGAACCCAUGGUGCUACUAACUCCACCACGGUGCCUGACAGCCAAUCGGACACAGCAGGGUGUAUUGUUGACAUGGCUUCCUCCAGCCAAUCACUCUUCACCAAUCGACCGAUACAUUAUCGAGUUCCGUCUGGGAGAGAGGUGGGAGGUUCUAGAUGACUUGAUUCCUGCCACUGAGACUGAGAUCAUAGCAAGAGACCUCAUUCAGGACUCUUGGUAUGAAUUCAGAGCGCUCGCUGUAAUGGAUGAUCUUGUCAGUGAAAGCAGUAAUGUGGUGGGAGUAUCAAGUACAGAGAUCUCAGACGAGGGGCUGGCCAAGCCAGUGGUGGCCGGUAUUGUGGCCACCAUCUGCUUCUUGGCGGCUGCCAUCUUGUUCAGUACGCUCGCUGCGUGCUUCGUCAACAAGCAGCAUCGUCGCAAACUGAAACGCAAGCGAGACCCUCCGUUAUCGAUAACCCACACAAGGAAAAGCAUCGAAUCUCCGCCUCCUCUUACCCCCUUGCCUGGCAUUGAGCCCUACUGGGAAGAGCCAGACAGGAGCAGCUACAGGCCCCCAUCCACCAGCCCUCAGCUGUCCUCUGGGAAGAUUAGUCCUGAGAGCAUCACCUCUUCCAGGCCCCCAUCUCUGGCCAGCAUGGGUGGCCACGGCCUUUAUGUGAAGAAGCUGCCAAGCCCCAGGAAAGAAAAGGAGCUUUCCCUCUAUAAGAAAACCAAGAGAGCAAUAACCAGUAAGAAGUACAGUGUGUCCAAGCAUGAGGCAGAGGUCACCACACCCAUCGAGCUGAUUAGCCGUGGACCCGAUGGCCGAUUUGUCAUGGACCCCACCGACAUCGACACUUCCCUCAAACCCCGGCGCAUUGAGGGUUUCCCCUUUGUGGAGGAAUCAGACUUGUAUCCUGAGUUCCGCCAGUCAGACGAGGAGAACGAUGACCCAGGGCCCCUACCCCCAGUCAUGGCCACCCUCAGGCCCCAGAUAUCCCCUGUGUCCUCCAGCCAGGAGUCCUACAUGCAGCCCCCAGCCUACAGUCCUCAGUUCCAGAGGCCCAUGGAAGGUAUGAGUAUCUUGGAGGGUAGUCGGCUUCAGGCCACAGGGCAGAGCCGGGUCUCCCAUUUUCACAGGGUCUUCCCUCCAGGGCCCUUCUAUGGCUAUCUAGGUAGUGGCGCUGAGGUGGAGCUUCACCCUCCUUUUUACAUGCCUGAUGUUAGCCCUCGUAGCUCUGCCAUGUCCUCCUCACCAUCAUAUCCCCCCGAGGGGCUGUUCCGCCAUCCCACCAUCCCUGAGGAGAGGGAGGAGCUGAGGAUCCAUCAGUAUGGCGCUUCAGGCCAUGCCCUCCCACUGGUGCAUAGCCCUCCCUCCUCUCGCUCGACCGAGAUCUGGCAGCCUCCUGACUUCCCCUUUCUGGGUCAGGAGGGUCCCCGUCUCGCUCUUCAACCACAUCAUUCCUCAUAUCUCCACCGGGACCUCCCUGAGCCCCCGCCAUACCCCUCCCACAGUCGCACUCUUGGCACCACCUCUCAGCUCCCUUCAAGCUCUGCUUUCCUCCAGCUGGAGGCCCCGAGAGCCCACCUGAGCAGAUCUCCCGGCAGGUUCCCGCCUCAGGGCCCUUCAGCCAAGCAUAUAACUAUGCAACAGGCCCAGAGUCUGGGGCAGUUGAGACACACUGCCCACGGUAUGGGCGUACCAGUGUUGCCUUACUCAGGCACCACUGCCCGCAUAGGGAGCCCAAGCACACUGCACAGUGAGAGCUCAGACGGCUGGAGGUCCGAGGCCCAGCCUUGGCUGAGCCCCAGGGCGGUGCGGCGGAUGGAUCUUGGCCUGCAGCAGGUGGUCCUGCAGCCGUCACGACUCUCCCCUCUCACCCAGACCCCUCCCAGCUCACAUGCCGGCUCUCCAGACAUCCUCAUCCGCCCUCCUCCCCGUCCCAGCAUCCUGCGGCCUUCACGCUCUCAAGAGAUGCCCGAGAGUGCCCGUCACCCUGCCAGUGUCUCCUUCUCCCGGAGGUCUCUCUCCUCUUCCCCCACCACCUCACCCACCCAGGGCCAGAGGGCCAGCCUCAGCUACCCCACCCACAUGGCCUUUGCCACAGCAGCGGCCAGCUACCCCUCUCAGUCCCCUUCACCCCCCACGGAGAGCAGUGAUGCUUUUGGCCAGAUGCCGUCUCAAAGAAGGACAGAUGAGGAGAUGCUUCCCUCAGAACCCUCUCCAGGCUAUCUGGGCAGCAUUGUUGUGACCAGGUCCUCUACACCACAAUAGGUAAGGGUCGAAUCCAUGUCUGAAAGGGGAGGGGUUUGCAGGCGGGGUCUUAAGUCAUUCUCAUUUAAAGGGGAAUGACAGACUUUUCAAGAUUUUGAUUACAUGACAUAAAUUAUAGAUUUGUGAAGAGUUACUUGCUCCCUGCUAACAAUAAGACCAGCCUAAGCUUGUUUGCUGGUCUUAGCUGGUUUAAGAUGGUCUAGCUGGUCUCCCAGCCUGGCCAAGCUGGUGCUUAGCUGGUCGGCCAGCUGGUCUCACAGCCUGACCUGCUGGCAAGUGCACAAAACUCCAGCAAACAGACCAGCUAAGACCAGCAAACCAGCUUUAAUAUGUAUUUUUCAGCAGGGCUUAUAAACACUGCAGUUUUUUUCUUUUUUUUUUUAAACAUUUCUAUGAGACUCAAGUACAGAAAAUUGUCCGUUUUUUUUUUUUUUACAAUAUUUCACACUUGCGCCCUUUCAGAGGCAGACUUGGACAUUCCCCUUUAAAAUUUUGUUUCCAUGACAAAAAUAUCAUGCAUGCCUUCUCUAAAUACUCUUCCUCGAUCCCGAAUCAGUAACAGCAGUUCUCAAACUAAAAUUUCUUGUCACAUCUGUUGUUCUAGUGGUUUGGUUCAUUUCUUUUAUGUAACUGUUCUUUGCUGGCCAUUCUCCCCUCCCUGCCAUCUCUUCUCCUGUCAGCAUGGUGAAGCCACUGUACAGUGUAUUCAUGGUAACCAGAGUGUGUUUGAUGUGACGGAUUGUAGUGCUCAGUAUGUCUACCUCCCCUCUCUAUUAACCACUUUCACUUUCUCUUUCCACAGCCUCAGCAGCAAGGGACACUGUCUAUAAACGCUUUGUGUUUCUGUGCCUUGUGAACCCAUGAGUUGUUGGCUGACUCUUCAGUAUGGACGUUUGAAUGUCAUGAUCUCUGCCAUGAUAGAGGAAUGGCAUGUAUGAUAAAAGACAACACUUUUCAGGACACGUGACCUCGUUGUGGUCAGUUUAAUAGAAACUUGAACUCAGUGUGCUUACUGGGAAAUUGGAUUUUGGCUAGUAGUAAUUUGAUUGGACAGUGCUGGCAGCAUGGCAGCAGUGUACAACGUGAGGUAAAAGGUUUUGUCAUGCUAAUUUAGGUUCAUUCACAUAGCAGCUGUAGAAAAUGAAUAAAAAGUGCUAACUUCAAUUUAGCAGACUAACCAAACUAAUAUGAUGUGCUUUUAAUUUAGUACCCACGCGCUGUACUUAAUCAAGAAGGAUUUUUGUGAAAAAUUAUUUUUAUUUGGAAAUUUUUAUGUUAAAAAUGAAAAAUGUUGAACAACCAAUUGUAGUUAAGAUCAUGAUUUCAUUUAGAUAAACCGUAAAAAAAAUAAAAAAAUAAAUAAAUAAAAAUUCUACAUAAUAUCUAACAAGAGUUAUUUUGCAACUCGUCCAAAGUUGAUUCAUUGCUAAAUUGCACAGCACAUGUUGAUGAAUGGUACUUUUGUACUUUUGUCACAAAGGUAUUAAAAUUGCAUCUGACAUUGGGGAGCCCGAGAGUUACGAGAAGUUCCAAAUCUGAGUUUAAACACACCGAUGGAGGGCAGUACACCCUGGUGGUUGUGUAAAGUAAUGCAACAUUAUGUUUGUCCCUCACAGGGAGCAUCUAGGAGAAGUGAGAGUCCCUGCAGGGUCUGAGAGUUUUGAAGCACUGAUUUAUUAUUGUAUUAAUAAAGCCAAGAAAUCAUCAGCCAACAAGAACAACAACUCCAGAUUCAAGAAAAGGACAGAUAUGUCGUCCUCUCAGACCCUGCAGCCGCAUGCAUCUCAGGCCUCUGAGCAAAGAGAACAUCUCAGCUCUCCCUCCAAGAAAAAGUGGAAAAGUCCACUUAGAAAGCCUCCCUGUCUCCAUCUUUCCUCUCUGCUGCGUUGGCUUCACCCCAGAGAAGACAGGAAGUCACUCCUGGCCAGUAUGGACCCAGCCCCCUCAAACUAUGGCUCUCUACUCUGAGAGCCCUCCGAAAUACACUAACCUUAUCCUUGUCCAUUAGCAAAAAUGUACAAUGGAUAUGCUCUCAGUACUGUUUUGUAAUCAGUCUAAACUAGAAACGAUUUAUUAUCUUCGUUUGGCACAAUAUCCUACACAUACACAUAUCUGUAUUUUCUGUAAAUUUACACAAAGGUAAAAGUACAGGGGUGCUACUCUUUUAGAAGAAAGGAAAAAGGACAGGAAAAGCUCUUUGUUUCAUACUGAAAAUAAAAGAAAAGCAAUCCAUUACAUUUUAGGAAAAAGGCCACUUCAGUAAUUGUAAUCCGUUAUUAAAUGUCAGAAUUGUGUAUAUUGUGAAGGAUAGAGAGUUUAAUACUCUGUACAGACAUGUCCCUCAAGAUGUGAUAGGGAUUACUACAGGGUUUCUUAUCUUCCUUCUACAAAAUAUACCUAAAAACAAAACAGAAAAAAAAAGAAGAAAUAAUCUGGCACAUAUUUCAGCACUUCUACCAUAUUUUGUGCAAGCUAACAUAUUUCAUUUUGAAUGACAAAUGUGGUCUGUUUCUGGCAAAGCUUCAACAGUCUUACAGAAUAUGAGGGAUUAAGCCCAAAAAGAUCAACAUAAUUUGUUCCAUCAAUUUUUUUUAAAUUUUUUUUUUAAUUAAAAUAUUACAAAUUAAAUAUAAAGCACAGAAUAUCAUAGAAAUUGUAAGCUUCAAAAGACAGGCUUUGGUUGGCUGCAAUACUAAACAGGUUAUGGGAAAAUAUUUGAACAGCUAUUCAGUUAUUUAUGUUGUGAACGCUCAGAUUGAACCAGUUUUGAAUUCCAAGCAAAGGCAGGUGGAAGAGAACACGUUGAUAUGAUUUACAUUCUAUAUUAUUUAUGACACAUAGGCCUACUAUUGAACGGUUUAGGCACUUUUUUAUAUCAGUUUGAAGACAUUAUUUAAAGACAUGACAGCUAAAGUGGUUGGAGGUAGAAUAAUAUUAGCCCCCUCAAAAAAGAUUCAGGUUCACAUUGAAUGUUAGAAAUAUGCUUUUUGACAAGUUCAGAUGACAUAUUUACCAAUGUAAUAUUUAAACUAAAGUACAGUUAUUUGGUCCUUGUCUUGCACAAAUGUAGUUAGAAGUGGUGAAAUGCAUUAUUGCGAGGAUAUUAUCAUGAGGAUAAAUAAUAAUUUGAUAUAUGUUGCUUUAGACAUACACAAAGUUCAGUAGAUAUUGUGCAGACUAAUGAAGAUAUCAGUAUAACAGCAAAAUGAAAUAAUCAGUGUUUUCUACAGAAGUGAACCUCCAAAAGUGUUCUUUUUUUAAAACAAUUUUCAAGUUGAUUAAAUUGUACUCUUGAAUUCAUCUUUAGUACUGUAUGUAUCAUCCAUCUCAGCUCACCUGAAUAAUAGCAAAGUUUGUGUGAAUUGAAUUAUUAAUGAUUUCAGCUGUUCAUUGUAUCCAGAGUUCACUAACAGCUGCUGAUUAAGCUAAUCGAGCGUUUAGUUUAGUUUAACCGAUGGUGAAUGUAUGGUUUGCUCUUAGAAGAUCAGAUUUAUCUGAAUAUUUUCAAUGUGGUUCAAUGUGUUUUAGUUCAUUUAGAUGCCAAUGCGAUCAACUCCAAAAUGAAUCUUCUCCAAAUUUCUCUUAUGGGGUUUUUGUAGCUAAAGUUUAAUAAUUAAGUACGAUGUAAUAGGAAUGUGAAUAUCUUGCAGUACUUGAACCAGAGUAUACAAGCAGAGAACACUGGGAUGAAAUUCUGUGAAUAAAGAUUCACAGAAUAGUCACACUUUAAUUGCACACAAAAAAGGUGACAUUGAGUGUAGACGAUUUGACUUAAGUGCCCAAAAGGCUGUUUACUUGUAACAUGAAAAAAAAAAAAAAAAAAAAAAAUCAAAUAUUUCACUGCACAGUGAUUAUUUCAACAUAUGUCUUUGUCAAUUGCUUUUCACCCCACAUGGUGUGUACCAAUUCAUAAGGCUGCUUUAAAUAUGUUGUCUCCCAGAGGACGGGGGCAGUGGCUAUUUUAGCUGUCGGGAGAGAAAUAUUAGACUUAACUGUUUUUGCAACACAUCCUGUCUAUACAAGUUCUGUCAAGAACACGUCAUACAUAAGUCCUACAAAAGCCACAUAAUGUUUACAUGAUCUAGAACUAACGUGCGAGGAUGUAGGCACAUUGUACACAUUAUGACUUGGUGCUAUGUCUUUUCGAACUCGUGGUGCUGUGGUUCAGAGGUUAACACAAACUCACGCACAGUCCUCUGUCUUUAACUAAACUAGCUUCAUUGUGGUUUCCUUUGUUGAGUUCUCCGGGUGUGUAGGACUGCAAGCAAUAAAAACCUAUUUCACAGGGCAGGUCCUGUGCUCUCACUAUGUUUCACCAUGGAAAUGGCAAAGGUGUUUAGUACAGUUCCACGGUCAGAUUUCAAAUGUGCUUACAUUAUUAAGUAAUCAUAAGAAAAACCCAACAUAUAUAGAAAGGUUUAUAAAGAAGAAUUUGCUAGACUUGAGGAGGCAGCAUAUCAAUAUGUAAUAUGUGAAAUGUACUCACGGUAUGAUAGUAAUGUUUUUAUUUAGCAUGGUAAGGAACUGGGAACAUAAACAGGUGUGAAAGACAGCAUUUCUGUUUUAUAGCGUUCUUCAUGGACAUAGCGGAGUAAUGCACCCUUGCAUAAAUCUGUGACACUGAUUAAAAAUGCAGAUGCAGUGUCGCUUUAUAUCUGUGGAUGGUGAUUGACAGCGUUGUAUUUUAUCCAGCUCCUCUGGUCUCUGAAUGGAGCACCCAUCAAAAACAAUUUUCUUGUUGAAUAUACUGUAUACGAUACUGUACAGGUAGACAUGCCCCUUUUGGCUUGUAAUGGACAAAUGUCUAAGAGGGUUAAUUGGAAAUGAAGUGUCAUAUUAACUCUUUGAUUGCCUGUAUUCAGUUAUUGUGCUUACUUCUUAUGGUUCUUUGUGAAACUUUAUUUCCUUUUUCUGUUGAUUGAACAGUACUAACAUUACAUAACUGAGAAAGUUACUCUGAUUUCACUCAUUCAGACCUGUUUGUCUUGUUUCAGAUAAAGCACAUCUUUUUGUUCUUUAUUCUUUGCUGUUCAUAUUACAAGCACUGAAAUCUUAGAAUGUAAUACUGCAUUAUGCACUAAUUUACGACUGUUUUAACAUUAAACCUCAUUCUUAGAGAAAGUGCUUACUUUAAGCAUAUUUCAAACUGCAUUGUUGUGCUUUUUAACUGCUUUUAAAUUUGUGUUGUACAUUGUUUACAGAUUAUAUUAUCUGAAGAGGUAUUGUGGGCAAACAUGUUUUUCAUCCUGACACCUUAAAUGCAAUGUAUAAGAGACUGUUCUCAUAUGAAGAAAAAGAAAAAUCAUAAAAUAAUAUAUUUUUUUCCUGAUUUAUUUGAUUGAAUGACUUGACCGGAGGCUUCUUUGUUCAGUUAUUGGAUUUAUUUCAGGUAUUAUUCUCAAACAGUAUGGUGCUGUACCAAAGCCUUAUGUAAAAUAUUACUACAAUGUAUUGUUUGAUUCUUCUGCCACUGCAACUGGAAUUUACCAAGAAAUUGCUAGACAAAACUGAUUAUGACACAUGGUGCGGUGUGCCUCUAUAUUCUCGUCCUUGAUUAAUACUCCAAAGUGUUUUUCCACGGACAUUCGGUGUCUCCACAUGCUCAGAUGUUAAGAUAUGGUGCCUGGUGUCUUCAUGCUGCUAGGAGUAAAUGUGAAUGGUGUUUCAUUUCUGCACAACCAACAUCUGAAGUGUGACAUUUUAACCUCCACAGUAGUUGAUUCAGCAUCUUGAUAUUAAAAGGGAACAACCCUGCAGUAAGCAAUGGUAUUUUUAGAGAAUAAACAAAACCACUGUUCUA